UCUUAGUGGCGAACGGGUGAGUAACGCGUGAGUAACCUGCCCUGGAGUGGGGGGACAACAGUUGGAAACGACUGCUAAUACCGCAUAAGCCCACGGAUCCGCAUGGAUCUGCGGGAAAAGGAUUUAUUCGCUUCAGGAUGGACUCGCGUCCAAUUAGCUAGUUGGUGAGGUAACGGCCCACCAAGGCGACGAUUGGUAGCCGGACUGAGAGGUUGAACGGCCACAUUGGGACUGAGACACGGCCCAAACUCCUACGGGAGGCAGCAUG
rnacentral:rRNA from 1 species